CUGCUGAGAAUGCUAAGCCUUUUGAUGAGAUUGAGUUUGAGAAGGUGCUUCGCAAGAAAUUUGCUCGUCGUGAUGAAGAGUAUGAUUCAAUGCUGGGUGUUGUACGAGAAACUCCACCUGAACUUAUUCUUCCAGAUAAUGUCCUACCUGAUAAAGAACAAAAGGCACAAUAAAGUUUUUCACGAGGUAUUGUCUCUUAAAAGGUCAAAUCUUCAUAUUUGAGGCUGAAGGAAUAUUUGUUGUCCUGUGCAAAUACAUGAAGAAGGGAUCAAUUUCCUUCCCAAUAAUAUCAGACGUAUUUAGGAUAGACACAUGUCUCCUUUUUGAAUUUAAGGCUCUGCUCUACUUGUUGCUAUUCGCUCUGUUUCUUCCAUGAGGGAAGUAAUGCCAAGUAGGAUUCGUAUUGAUGUUUUAAUGUUGCUUUUACUAGAGAUUUUGUCUAUCCAUGCUUCUGAUAUCAAGUUAUUUCAGGAAUGAUUUUAUAUUUGUUUUGAUUGCAUAGUCCAAUGAAUUUCUGGAAGCUGUUGUUAUAUUGUGUAGUUAAAUCAGAAAUCUAGAAAGAAAGUCUAUGAAUUGCUGGUAGAAUGGUGCAAUGAGUUAAUCCUAUGACAAGACAAAAGGGUUGUAUGAUUAGAUUGCUGUGUCCAUACGGACAAGGCUCAGGCUGCUGCAGAUGUGUGUAGGCAUUUUGUGGAUGGAGUCUUAUCGGUCAAAAGAAUUUUGUCGCCAAGGUGUAGCCUUGAAGGCGUGAUCAAGUAAUCAGACCAAGACUCCACCGAUCAUUAUUUGUUAGUAUCUUCUUUUCUUAUUGGGGGAGAGGAGAGAAAGAAAAAGGAAAUAAAAAUAAAAAUAAAAAGCAAUUUUUGCUAGGCAUGGUUAACGGGAAUUGGCUAUUUAAUUCACGGAUCAUGUGUUUGGGUAAUGCCUUGUAUUUUAGUCCAGAAAUCUCUUUCUUUUUCAUAUGAAUAGAGAAAUUGCUUUGAAAAGAAAAAUAAAAGGUGUAGAAAAGUUAAAAGAAAACAAGAAAUGAAAUGUAAAAGUUGGCAAUUUUAUCCCAGGAAUCGACGGAUUCAACGAGGGAGGGAUUCUAUUUAGUUUUUUCUUAAAAAAAUUUAAAUUGCUAAAAAAUUAUAUAGGGCUUUGCUUCAACCAAAAAAAAAUAAAAAAUAUAUAUAUAUAGGGGGAGAGAGAGAGUUUAUACAAAUAACAAAUCAAUUACCAUUUUAAAUUAGCAAAAGAUAUAAAAAUGUCCAACUUAUUAAAAAAAUUCAAUUAAGUUUUUUUUUUUUUUUUUAAUUAAAUCUAUUAAUUUUUAUAAAAGGUUCAAUUAAGUUCUCAUUUUAUUUUUAGCUCAAUUAAAUCUAUUAAUUUUUACAAAGGUCCAAUUAAUCCAUAAUAUUAACAACGUUCAAAAUGCUGAUAAGUGUAAGGGUUCAAUUAUUUUGAGAGUACGGAUAAUAAUUGCUCUGAAUAUUUUAAAGUCAUGUUUAUAUUAUGUGAAGGAGAGAACACAAAUUUUUCUUCUUUAUUUUUGCACAAUUAGUAUUUAUAAAUCCUAAUUUACAGUAGUGAUUCUUUUCUCACAUAAAAUGAUAACAAUAUUUUUAUCUUCUUUAUCACACUCAUUUAUAAGUAGAGGAUGAGUACAAAUUGUUGAGUUAUAUUAUAUCUCACUACCUCCAAUAAGGUUUAACAAAAAUGUAAUUUUAUGGAGAAAUACCAAUCCUGGAAAGAGGUUUUAUAAUUAUAGGAGCUAUGAUAUAGGUAAAAAUAAAAAAGAAGUAGAAAUAAAAAAGAAGUGGUUUUCUCUCACUUAUGUGAUAUAAACGUGAUUUUAAAAUAUUCAAAGCAGUUAUUAUUUGUGCUCUCAAAAUAAUAGAAUCCUUACUCUUAAUAACAUUUUAGACGCUAUUAGCAUUAUUAGUUAAUUGGACAUUUCAUAAAAAUUAAUGGGUUUAAUUGGUAAAAAAAAUAAAAAUUUAAUUGAAUCUUUUAUAAAAAUUAAAGGAUUUAAUUGAAAAGAAAAAUGGAAACUUAAUUGAACUUUACUAAUAAAUUAAAAGAUAUUUUUAUACCUUUUGCCAUAUAAAUUUUAUACAUUUCCAGAAAUUUUAAAAUUUUAAAAUUUCACGAUCUUUUGUUUUAUUUUCAUAGAUUUUUGACAAGUUUAAAUUUUAAAGCCUUAAUUCAAACACAUUUAUUGAUUUUGACUAAAUGUCACUUCAUUUCAAACAGCCUUCAAAGAAAAGUUUCAUAUCUCAAAACGAGCUGUUGUUUAUUGAGGAGUGGUAGUUUGUCUUGGAGCCUGAGAACCACUACAUGUAUACGGCCUGUCGUGUCAUUCGUUUGUCCGUCAAUAAAUUUGGGAAGGACCAGUCAUUAUUUUCGCGAGCGGCAUGUCGUAUAUCAAUCUGGGCAAGGGCAACAUUGAAAAAUAACAUUUCUAUUUUGCCCUCAUUCGUCACGUUGAUAUCAUACCCACACCCGCAGAGUACCAUUUCUCCUCCUUCACUCCCAUUACAGUGUACCCUGCAUUUUUAUCGAUCGAAGAAGAAGAAGAAGAAGAUGGGGACCUUAGGCAGAGCCAUAUACUCCAUCGGUUUCUGGAUUCGGGAAACCGGCCAAGCUCUUGAUCGUCUCGGCUGCCGCCUCCAAGGCAAUUACUACUUUCAAGAACAAUGUAAGUUCUUUAUUUAUCCGAAACCCUAGAUCCCAUCCAAUUUUGUUCAUCCCUGAAUUAAUUAAAUUAAUAGAUGUUGUAGCAGGUGGUACUAAGAUUGACUUGCUUAAUUUUAAUUUCUUAUCAUAAUGUUAUCGAGUAUUCUAAUUUCAGUUUUGCAUUUGGCAAAUAACUGAUUCUGGUUUAUAUUUUUAGUGUCUAGACAUCGAACUCUUAUGAACGUAUUUGAUAAAGCUCCUGUGGUUGAUAAGGAUGCAUUUGUUGCCCCCAGUGCUUCAAUCAUUGGUGAUGUUCAAGUUGGAAGAGGUGCAUCUAUUUGGUAUGGAUGUGUUUUGAGAGGUAUGAUCUCUAACGCUUCUUGUUUUACAAUGUGUGAUAUGCAUGUAUCGUUUUUUUUUUUUUGUUCUUUUAUCAUUUGGACUUUGGUUUAGGGCCAGUAGAAUUAUAAUUUAUGUGUAUAUGGAUUGGAUGAACUGGCUGUAUUCUUGUGUGCUAAUCAUGGCAUAUGACAUAUAAUUAUGUGUGGCUGAGAUUGAGACCAUUGAAUGUUGUAGUUUUAACAGUCAUACUUUGAGUGAUUGAUUUUGCCAAUUGUUUUCUUUCAUUUUGCACAAAAGAAAUUAACACUUCCAAAUUCAUGUUGAUAUGUUAAUUAAUAAAAUUCUAAUUUUUUCCAUGAACUUUUCAUUUUUCGCUAAUCAAUAGAUUUCAACAUAACUUUUGGACUAUUGUCAAGGCUAUGUUUGAUUUUAGUCCGGCUGCAAUUUGCUUUAAUAUAAUUAUCCUAUCUGGAGUUGAAUUAGGCUUACUCUGCAUCAAGGUUAUAUAUCGAUAUCAGGUCUCUUCUUGUAUUGAGUUUCUAGUUUUUUUCUUCUUUCUGUAAAUAGCAAGAAAGAUAAAAUAUUCCCUAAAACAAGCAGAAAGGAGUAUAAUGGUCCUGGUUGCAGAGUUGUUUAAUUUUUUUUGUUGAGUUAAUAAUAACAAGAUGUUAGAACCAAUCUGGUUUUGAAUUAAUCAUGGGGCUAUAUUUUUUCACUUAUAUUUAGCCCCAAAUUUCUUAGAACCAAUUUAGGGUCAUAUUACGUGUGUUUAUUCUCUGCUGAAGGUAACCCUCUAAGUGUUUUCGGAGUUGAAAGAUUUCUUGCAAACUUGUACGUUUUGAACUGGAUGCUAAUUGUGAGGUAGACAAUGAAAAUUUUGUGGUUAUCUCAGCUGGUUUCGUUUAUAACAAUGUAAAUUUUUCUUUGUCUAUAGGUGAUGUAAACAGCAUUAGCAUUGGAUCUGGAACUAAUAUACAAGAUAACACCCUUGUGCAUGUGGCAAAGUCUAAUUUAAGUGGGAAGGUACUACCAACUAUUAUUGGGGAUAAUGUCACUGUAGGUAAGCAAUAUGUUAUUAGUUGUUAUAUGUUCAUGUCAAUUAACCUGAUGAAGAUUUCAAAUUCCUGUUUAUUAUGGCUUAAAGUUUGAACUGGGCAGGCCAUAGUGCUGUUCUUCAUGGCUGUACUGUUGAGGAUGAGGCUUUUGUUGGUAUGGGAACAACACUUCUUGAUGGCGUUGUUGUUGAGAAAAAUGCCAUGGUUGCUGCUGGAGCCCUUGUAAGACAGAACACAAAGAUACCUGCGGGAGAGGUAUGUCUGCAAUCUCCAUUUCUGGAGCUUGUCUUAUAGUGAUUAUUUUGUUGGUAAUUGUUUCAUAUACUAUUCACUUUGGUCUGAAGUACUUAGUUUUAUCACCCAACGAGUCCCCAUUUCUGGAGCUGCUUUCAGGCUCACUUUAUUUAAAGCAAAGAUUUUGAGGACAUGAUCCAUAAUAUACUGGCUUAAAUAAUUUGCAAUAUAUGCAGGUAUGGGGAGGCAAUCCUGCAAGGUUUCUGAGAAAGCUAACUGAUGAAGAGAUAGCUUUUAUUAUGCAGUCUGCCACCAAUUAUUCGAAUCUUGCACAGGUUCAUGCCACUGAGAAUGCUAAGCCUUUUGAUGAGAUUGAGUUUGAGAAGGUUCUCCGCAAGAAGUUUGCUCGUAGGGAUGAAGAGUAUGACUCAAUGUUGGGUGUUGUUCGUGAAACUCCACCUGAACUUAUUCUUCCAGAUAAUGUCUUACCAGAUAAAGCACCCAAGGCAAUAUGAGCUACUUUUCAUGAGGUAUUGUUUCUUAAAUUGAGAACUUGAGAGUUAACUUUCAAGAAACGCUGUUG
rnacentral:lncRNA from 1 species